CGAAAGCCUGACGGAGCAAUACCGCGUGAGGGAGGAAGGCUCUUGGGUCGUAAACCUCUUUUCUCAGGGAAGAACAAAAUGACGGUACCUGAGGAAUAAGCAUCGGCUAACUCUGUGCCAGCAGCCGCGGUAAGACAGAGGAUGCAAGCGUUAUCCGGAAUGAUUGGGCGUAAAGCGUCCGCAGGUGGCAGUUCAAGUCUGCUGUCAAAGACCGGGGCUUAACUUCGGAAAGGCAGUGGAAACUGAACAGCUAGAGUAUGGUAGGGGCAGAGGGAAUUCCUGGUGUAGCGGUGAAAUGCGUAGAGAUCAGGAAGAACACCGGUGGCGAAGGCGCUCUGCUAGGCCGCAACUGACACUGAGGGACGAAAGC
rnacentral:rRNA from 1 species